AUGCAACUUCAAUCUCCACUCCUAUUUCUUUCUUUUGUUUCUGUUAUACGUUUUAAUACUGAAGCUUCAUGUGGUUGUUGCAAUGUUGAUCGUCAUUGUUGUAUAUUUGUGGUGAUGAUGAUGACGAUCGCAAAGAUUUGGAAGACUGCAUGGAAAGAUCCGAGACAGACUGGACGCCUUUUUUCUAGUUUUUUGGUGAUGGAGGAUGGUGAUUAA